GUCAUAGUGAUCCGGUGGUUCUGAAUGGAAGGGCCAUCGCUCAACGGAUAAAAGGUACUCCGGGGAUAACAGGCUGAUACCGCCCAAGAGUUCAUAUCGACGGCGGUGUUUGGCACCUCGAUGUCGGCUCAUCACAUCCUGGGGCUGAAGUAGGUCCCAAGGGUAUGGCUGUUCGCCAUUUAAAGUGGUACGCGAGCUGGGUUUAGAACGUCGUGAGACAGUUCGGUCCCUAUCUGCCGUGGGCGCUGGAGAACUGAGGGGGGCUGCUCCUAGUACGAGAGGACCGGAGUGGACGCAUCACUGGUGUUCGGGUUGUCAUGCCAAUGGCACUGCCCGGUAGCUAAAUGCGGAAGAGAUAAGUGCUGAAAGCAUCUAAGCACGAAACUUGCCCCGAGAUGAGUUCUCCCUGACUCCUUGAGAGUCCUGAAGGAACGUUGAAGACGACGACGUUGAUAGGCCGGGUGUGUAAGCGCAGCGAUGCGUUGAGCUAACCGGUACUAAUGAACCGUGAGGCUUAACC
rnacentral:rRNA from 1 species